ACAGAGAUGUGGACAGUCGNCUCACACCGGGAGUGUGAGGAGGAAAGUCCGGGCAACAUAGAGCAGCAUAUUNUCUAACGGAAAGCCGGGGGCGACCUCGGGGAUAAGUGACAGAAAACGACCGCCGGAAGUCCUUUCACUUCUCAGCGAGANAGAGACAGACCUCCGGUAAGGGUGAAAAGGCGGGGUAAGAGCCCACCGGUCUNCCANGGCGACNUGUGGAGGCCGCACNUCCNAUGNGUUGCAAGGCCAAAUAUACCGGCAGUUAAGGAUUGCUCGUCCAUUGCCGGGGGGUAGGCUGCUUGAGACGACGGGCAACCGUCGCCCUUAGAUAAAUGACUGUCAGCGGUCAGUGACCGUCACAUAACCCGGCUUACAGCAUCUCUGCCGGC
rnacentral:RNase_P_RNA from 1 species